rnacentral:rRNA from 1 species
AGGGAAUCUUCGGCAAUGGACGGAAGUCUGACCGAGCAACGCCGCGUGAGUGAAGAAGGUUUUCGGAUCGUAAAGCUCUGUUGUAAGAGAAGAACGAGUGUGAGAGUGGAAAGUUCACACUGUGACGGUAUCUUACCAGAAAGGGACGGCUAACUACGUGCCAGCAGCCGCGGUAAUACGUAGGUCCCGAGCGUUGUCCGGAUUUAUUGGGCGUAAAGCGAGCGCAGGCGGUUAGAUAAGUCUGAAGUUAAGGGCUGUGGCUUAACCAUAGUACGCUUUGGAAACUGUUUAACUUGAGUGCAAGAGGGGAGAGUGGAAUUCCAUGUGUAGCGGUGAAAUGCGUAGAUAUAUGGAGGAACACCGGUGGCGAAAGCGGCUCUCUGGCUUGUAACUGACGCUGAGGCUCGAAAGCGUGGGGAGCAAACAGGAUUAGAUACCCUGGUAGUCCACGCCGUAAACGAUGAGUGCUAGGUGUUAGACCCUUUCCGGGGUUUAGUGCCGUAGCUAACGCAUUAAGCACUCCGCCUGGGGAGUACGACCGCAAGGUUG